GGAGGAGGAAAAUUUUCGAAACUAUCGAACAGGGUGAAGGAACUGGAGGAGAGCAUGGAGAAACUAGGAGAAUGCAAAGAAGUUUGCUCGAUGAUCUCUGAACUAAAAGAGCGGCUCACUGCUGUAGAGGGUGAGAUUGAAGAGCUGAAGAAAGAACCGCCGACAAACCCCCCUCCACUGGCUCCAGAGUGCGAAGGCUACAAAGUUCUGGACAGCGCUGACAGGAAGAAUACCUACGGUAUGGGCAAUGCAGCAUGUGACAACGAC